rnacentral:lncRNA from 1 species
GGACACUGUAGCCUGGUGGUCAGCGAGUUAUGCCUGGCGGUUACAGGACACUGUAGCCUGGUGGUCAGCGACUUAGAGCUGGCGGUUACAGGACACUGUAGCCUGGUGGUCAGCGACUUAGAGCUGGGGGUUAGAGGACACUGUAGCCUGGUGGUUAGAGACUUAUGCCUGGCGGUUACAGGACACUGUAGCCUGGUGGUCAGCGACUUAUGCCUGGUGGUUACAGGGCACUGUAGCCUGGUGGUUAGAGACUUAUGCCUGGCGGUUACAGGACACUGUAGCCUGGCGGUUAGAGACUUAUACCUGGUGGUUACAGGACACUGUAGCCUGGUGGUCAGCGACUUAUGCCUGGCGGUUACAGGACACUGUAGCCUGGUGGUUAGAGACUUAGAGCUGGCGGUUACAGGACACUGUAGCCUGGUGGUCAGCGACUUAUGCCUGGCGGUUACAGGACACUGUAGCCUGGUGGUCAGCGACUUAGAGCUGGCGGUUACAGGACACUGUAGCCUGGUGGUCAGCGACUUAGAGCUGGGGGUUAGAGGACACUGUAGCCUGGUGGUUAGAGACUUAUGCCUGGCGGUUACAGGAAACUGUAGCCUGGUGGUCAGCGACUUAUGCCUGGUGGUUACAGGACACUGUAGCCUGGUGGUUAGAGACUUAGAGCUGGCGGUUACAGGACACUGUAGCCUGGUGGUUAGAGACUUAUGCCUGGCGGUUACAGGACACUGUAGCCUGGUGGUCAGCGACUUAUGCCUGGCGGUUACAGGACACUGUAGCCUGGUGGUUAGAGACUUAUGCCUGGCGGUUACAGGACACUGUAGCCUGGCGGUUAGAGACUUAUACCUGGUGGUUACAGGACACUGUAGCCUGGUGGUUAGAGACUUAUGCCUGGUGGUUACAGGACACUGUAGCCUGGUGGUCAGCGACUUAUGCCUGGCGGUUACAGGACACUGUAGCCUGGUGGUCAGCGACUUAUGCCUGGCGGUUACAGGACACUGUAGCCUGGUGGUUAGAGACUUAGAGCUGGCGGUUACAGGACACUGUAGCCUGGUGGUCAGCGAGUUAUGCCUGGCGGUUACAGGACACUGUAGCCUGGUGGUCAGCGACUUAUGCCUGGCGGUUACAGGACACUGUAGCCUGGUGGUCAGCGACUUAGAGCUGGCGGUUACAGGACACUGUAGCCUGGUGGUCAGCGACUUAGAGCUGGGGGUUAGAGGACACUGUAGCCUGGUGGUUAGAGACUUAUGCCUGGUGGUUACAGGACACUGUAGCCUGGUGGUCAGCGACUUAUGCCUGGUGGUUACAGGACACUGUAGCCUGGUGGUUAGAGACUUAGAGCUGGUGCUUAGAGGAGACAUAGGCUCUGCAACCCUCCAAUUGUUUCUUGUUUUUCUGGGUUUUUUUUUGCUUUUUUUAAAAGUUUUUUUUUUGCUCUUUUUAAAAGAUGUUUAUUUAUUGUAUGUAAGUGCACUGUAGCUGUCUUCAGACACUGAGAAGAGGGCGUCAGAUCUCGUUACGGGUGCUUGUGAGCCACCACGUGGUCGCUGGGAUUUGAACUUCAGAGCUCUGGAAGAGCAGUCGGGGGCUCUUACCCACUGAGCCAUCUCGCCAGCCCCUGUUGUUGUUGUUGUUUUAAGAAUGGGCGGGUCUGCCCUUCACUCUGACAGGGCUGCUCUGGUGUGAGUGGUGGGGACUCAGCCCCGAGGCAUGCUGGGAGUUUUACUGCCCUGCGGGGGUCCAUGGUUCUCUAUGGGUUUCACUCUGAGGGGCGUCUGCAGCAGGAAGUGGGCCCCGGGGCAUGCUGGGAGCUGUAGUUAAUCUCUGAUGUCUGAGCCUUUCAAAGGCACUGAUGCGUUUAUUGCUGGAGUUAUUGAUCUAUUGAUUGGAUAUUUUAGGGUUUUUUUUCUUCCCAGACUUGGAGUCUCUGGGUUUCAUCCCAACACGCCCACUCGGCUGGGGCGCGUCCGCCAGUGGCGGGAGUAUGUCAGGGCAGCGUCGAAAUGUUUUAUUUUUAUUCUUUUUUAUUUCAGUAUUUUUUUUUUCGUUUUUCAAGACAGGGUUUCUCUUUAUAGUCCUGGCUAUGGUUUUUUCCCUAAUUAUUCUCUUUUUUAUUUUUAAUUUUUAAUUUAAUUUUUACUUUUUGGAGAAAGUGGUUAGAGACUUUAAGCACAGUGGUUAGACUGUGCUUCAGCCUGGCAAUGUAGACUUGCUCAGGGGCGCCACCUUGUGGCCACGGAUUGUCACUGCAACCCUCCAAUUUUUUUUUUUUUUUUUUUUUUUUUUUGCUUUUUUUAAAAGUUUUUUUGCUCUUUUUAAAAGAUGUUUAUUUAUUGUAUGUAAGUGCACUGUAGCUGUCUUCAGACACUCGAGAAGAGGGAGUCAGAUCUCGUUACGGGUGGUUGUGAGCCACCACGUGGUUGCUGGGAUUUGAACUUCAGACCUUUGUAUUUUUUUCCUAAUUAUUCUAAUUUUUAUUCUUAUUUUUAUUUUAUUUUAUUUUAUUUUUAUUUUACUUUUUGGUUUUUCAAGACAGGUUUUCUCUUUAUAGCCCUGGCUAUGGUUUUUUUUCCCUAAUUAUUCUUAUUAUUUUUAUUUUAUUUUAUUUUAGUUUUUUGGUUUUUCGAACAGGGUUUCUCUGUGUAGCCCUGGCUGUCCUGGAACUCACUUUGUAGACCAGGCUGGCCUCCAACUCAGAAAUCUGCCUGUCUCCGGCUCCCGAGUGCUGGGAUGAAAGGUGUGCACCACCACGCCCGACUCCAAUUUUUUUUAUUUAUUAUUUUUUUUGUUGUGUGAUUUGAAAGUCUAACACGUGUUUCUCUGUUUAUGGACCUGGAUCCCACGCCAGCGUCCACCGGUCACUGCCGCCGCCCACAGUGAUGUCACCCACGAAAGCACACACGUAGAAGCGGACGCCGUGGUCAAGAUGUCUCUGCCAUCCCCACAGGACGGACGGACGGACUCCACAAGGUAGGAAGCCUGCGCCGACCGCACCGCUGCACCCACCACAGCACACAGGACACACGCGGGCCCCGCGCCCGCCCAGGCACACGCGGCACACACGGCACACACGGCAGGCAGGCCAGGCACACGCAUCCGCAGGACCCGCCGCACCCGCCACGCAGACACGGACGAGCCGCCGCGGUCAAGAUGUUCACCCGCCGUGGUCAAGAUGUAUGUGCCACCGACCCUCGCCCCGCUGGACGGACGGACGGACGCACGCACGCCGUCAGGUGCGCGUGUCGCCGAGGCCGCCAGGACGGAGCGAUUCUCACGGAGGAAGGAGCACGCCAACGGGGCCUGACUGCGUACAGAAAUGUCCCCCUCAAUAAAAUUGCAGUUGAAAUGGA